AACGCGAAGAACCUUACCUGGGCUUGAACCGCUACUGACCAGCGGUAGAAAUAUCGCCUUCUCGCAAGAGACAGUAGUAGAGGUGCUGCAUGGCUGUCGUCAGCUCGUGCCGUGAGGUGUUGGGUUAAGUCCCGCAACGAGCGCAACCCUUACUCUUAGUUGCCACCCGCAAGGGGGAACUCUAAGAGGACUGCUCCGGAUAACGGAGAGGAAGGUGGGGAUGACGUCAAGUCAGCACGGCCUUUAUGUCCAGGGCUACACACGUGUUACAAUGCAUGGUACAGACCGUCGCAAACCCGCGAGGGGGAGCUAAUCGGACAAAGCCAUGCUCAGUUCGGACUGCAGUCUGCAACUCGACUGCACGAAGCCGGAAUCGCUAGUAAUGCCGUAUCAGAACGACGGCGUGAAUACGUUCCCGGGCCUUGUACACACCGCUCGUC
rnacentral:rRNA from 1 species